UGAGAUCAAUCUGGAAAUGCUCUUAUAUUAAUGUCGGACAGCAAAAAGACGUACAUGAUCAAUAAUAUAAGAGCAACUGGUGCAUUGUGCAUGGCUGGUUCUUCCAUCACCUCUUGCUGAUUUGAAGCUAGUUCUAGCUAAACUAAAGGUUAAUUGAAGUGAAUUUUAGGUUUAAUUAGAAUUUUGUAACCGAAGUGAGUUUUCGUUAAUUUUUCUUUUCUAAUUUCAAUUCCAACUCAAUUCCUAUUGGAGGUUGGUAUUUCUUGGAUUUUUCCAUUUGAUUUUAAGCUGAGGGUGAAGCUUGGGUGCUCGGAUCUUGUCCAGAGUUGGUAAGUUGAUUUAAUUUGAUCGAAAUCCGAAUUUUUCUUAGCUGAAUUGCAUCAGCUGGCAGAUUUGAGUUCAAUUCGCAUUUCGAUUACUUUAGCAGGUUGGAUUGCUGGUUUUGGAGUUUGUUGGUGUUCUUCUAUUGGAUUUUUGAGCUGUGAGCUAGGAUUCCAUUUCAGUUCUAGUGCCGGAUAGCGAUUAGAGAGUCUUUUACAUCUGUCAUUACUGUAGCUGAUCGAGGUAAGGAGAUUGCUGAACAGAUAGCUCUUUUACCUAGGGACUGCACUAACGGAGGAUCUAGUUGUUAGCGUUUUGGGAAGACUUAUUAUGCAUAACUUGAUAUAUUUUACUUUCAGUUGAGAGAUGUGGAUUGUACUAUUUUGGUGAUUCAUGUAUGUACAUGCAGUAUGUUUCAUCUAUAUAUUAGUUUAUUUCA